rnacentral:rRNA from 1 species
CCUACGGGUGGCAGCAGUGAGGAAUAUUGGUCAAUGGGCGGAAGCCUGAACCAGCCAAGUCGCGUGCGGGAUUAAGGCCCUGCGGGUCGUAAACCUCUUUUGUCGGGGAGCAGAGGUCCGGACGUGUCCGGGCCGGGAGAGUACCCGGAGAAAAAGCAUCGGCUAACUCCGUGCCAGCAGCCGCGGUAAUACGGGGGAUGCGAGCGUUAUCCGGAUUUUUGGGGUUUAAAGGGUGCGUAGGCGGGCAUUUAAGCCGGCGGUCAAAUGUCGGGGCUCAACCCCGGCCUGCCGUCGGAACUGGGUGCCUUGAGUGGGCGAGAAGUAUGCGGAAUGCGUGGUGUAGCGGUGAAAUGCAUAGAUAUCACGCAGAACCCCGAUUGCGAAGGCAGCAUACCGGCGCCCUACUGACGCUGAGGCACGAAAGUGCGGGUAUCGAACAGGAUUAGAUACCCGAGUAGUC